UCCUGUGGCCUAGUGGUUAAAGCGUCCGCCUCGGAUGUCAGAGGUCGCUGGUUCGAACCCCGGCCAAGUCAU